rnacentral:tRNA from 1 species
CCCGCGCCUGGUCGAGCGCGGCCGCGGCCUCCCCGGCCGCGAGCAGGGCCGUGGCCCGGCGCAGCUGCAGCUCGGCCCGCUGGACCGGGA